rnacentral:rRNA from 1 species
AGCGAACGCUGGCGGCAGGCCUAACACAUGCAAGUCGAACGAACCUUUCGGGGUUAGUGGCGGACGGGUGAGUAACACGUGGGAACGUGCCUUUAGGUUCGGAAUAACUCAGGGAAACUUGUGCUAAUACCGAAUGUGCCCUUCGGGGGAAAGAUUAAUCGCCUUUAGAGCGGCCCGCGUCUGAUUAGCUAGUUGGUUGAGGUAAUGGCUCACCAAGGCGACGAUCAGUAGCUGGUCUGAGAGGAUGUUCAGCCACAUUGGGACUGAGACACGGCCCAAACUCCUACGGGAGGCAGCAGUGGGGAAUCUUGCGCAGUGGGCGAAAGCCUGACGCAGCCAUGCCGCGUGAAUGAUGAAGGUCUUAGGAUUGUAAAAUUCUUUCACCGAGGACGAUAAUGACGGUACCCGGAGAAGAAGCCCCGGCUAACUUCGUG